rnacentral:rRNA from 1 species
CCUACGGGGGGCUGCAGUAGGGAAUCUUCCACAAUGGGCGAAAGCCUGAUGGAGCAACGCCGCGUGGGUGAAGAAGGUCUUCGGAUCGUAAAACCCUGUUGUUAGAGAAGAAAGUGCGUGAGAGUAACUGUUCACGUUUCGACGGUAUCUAACCGGAAAGCCACGGCUAACUACGUGCCAGCAGCCGCGGUAAUACGUAGGUGGCAAGCGUUAUCCGGAUUUAUUGGGCGUAAAGGGAACGCAGGCGGUCUUUUAAGGCUGAUGUGAAAGCCGUCGGCUUAACCGGAGUAGUGCAUUGGAAACUGGGAGACGUGAGUGCAGAAGAGGAGAGUGGAACUACAUGUGUAGCGGUGAAAUGCGUAGAUAUAUGGAAGAACACCAGUGGCGAAAGCGGCUCUCUGGUCUGUAACUGACGCUGAGGUUCGAAAGCGUGGGUAGCAAACAGGAUUAGAUACCCGUGUAGUC